AGUCCCUUCCCCUCUCCCUUCCUCUGACAGGUUUGCCCUCUGCUCUUGAGACAUGGGGACUCUGCUGUGCACGCAGGUCUCCGAGAGGCGUCUUCUCUCUGAUGGGCAUCCUCUCUGCCCCAAUCACUAGGCUUCGUUCGUACCCCCACCUCCUUCCAACAGGUAUCUCAGCCUGAGCCGUCCUUUCGAUGACCAUUGACCACUGUGCGAGGAGGGGACCCUGACUGCCAGUAGGAGACCCCCCAGAGCCAGAAGCUGGGUUCCACGCCUGAUCUGCCACCCACAAGCUCUGUGACCUCAGGCCAGUCACCGAACCUCACCAAACCUUGUCAUCUGGAAAACAGGGAUGCUGACAGGGAACACUUUCACAGGGCUUUUGGAGAGAAUAAAUGAGAUAACGUACACGAAA